rnacentral:tRNA from 1 species
ACCUGGCUGGCUCAGUUGGUAGAGCAUGUGACUCUGGAUCUCAGAGUUGUGAGUUUAAACCCCACGUUAAGGG